UGACAGUAGUGAUGAUGACGACAUCUGUCUUACUCCUGAAUAAUCACAUGUGGGUUUUCAGUCACUACCUCAUCUGAACAGUCA